AAACCAACAGGGAUUGCCUCAGUAACGGCGAGUGAAGCGGCAAAAAGCUCAAAUUUGAAAUCCCCCCGGGGAAUUGUAAUUUGAAGAUUGUGUUUUGGAAACGACCGUGUCUAUGUUCCUUGGAACAGGACGUCACAGAGGGUGAGAAUCCCGUGCGGCACGGCCACCGUUUCCUUAUAAAACACUCUCGACGAGUCGAGUUGUUUGGGAAUGCAGCUCAAAGUGGGUGGUAAAUUCCAUCUAAAGCUAAAUACAGGCGAGAGACCGAUAGCGAACAAGUACAGUGAUGGAAAGAUGAAAAGCACUUUGAAAAGAGAGUGAAACAGUACGUGAAAUUGUUGAAAGGGAAGGGCAUGCCGUCAGAUUGUCAGUGUGGGUAAGAAGCGGGGUACAAAGACUGUGGAACGUGGCCCUCGGGUGUUAUAGCCACAGUUCAUCCCCCGUCUCUUUCCGAGGCCUGCUUUGAGGACACCGACGUAAUGACGGUACGCCGCCCGUCUUGAAACCACGGA
rnacentral:rRNA from 1 species